CUGGAGUGUCGGCUCCCUCCCCGGCGUUAAACCCAACGGCAGCAGCCGCAGAGCAGCGGGUCUUGAGGGGAGGGCUGAGGGGAAGCGACCCUCCAGGACCUCUCCACAGUACAUCCGAGCGGUGGGAACAGGACCGGUGCAAGCGUGAGAUUUGGUGGACUUCAUCCAGGCGAAAGGCACCUGCACUCGGGGCUCCUCUACAGCUCCCGUGUCCGCCCCGUCUGAGAAAGGCAACGCGUCCUGGUGGGGAGGAGGAAGAUGAGCGUGGUGGUGAUGGUGAUGAAGGGACCACAGUGGGAGAAGAAGCUGACUGGGAAACAGAGCUUUCCCAGGGAUUGAUUUUUAACCCCCCACCAUGGCUGUAUCUAGCAGAAAGACAUUUGGGACUGUGCCUGGAGCCUGAGCCAUACCAGCCACUUAGCACGGUCUCAGGGGGACCAAGCAACACUCCUAUCUGAUCCUUACAGAGGUCAUGCCAUGCCCGGUCAGCCACCAAUAGUCCCUUUGCCGUAGGAAGAGAGAAUCCUCUUGGUAUCCACCGGCCACAUUUCCUACCAU